AAGUCGUAACAAGGUUUCCGUAGGUGAACCUGCGGAAGGAUCAUUACCGAAUUGUCAACAAGAGCUGUUGCUGGUCUCUGUAUGGGGGCAUGUGCACGCUCUGUUUACACAUCCACUCACACCUGUGCACCCUCUGUAGUUCUGUGGCCUGGGUGGGCUCUGUCCCCCUGCUGUGGUUCUGCGUCUUUACACACACACUACAACAAAGUCUCAUGGAAUGUAUGUCGCGUUUAACGCAAUGAAAUACAACUUUCAGCAACGGAUCUCUUGGCUCUCGCAUCGAUGAAGAACGCAGCGAAAUGCGAUAAGUAAUGUGAAUUGCAGAAUUCAGUGAAUCAUCGAAUCUUUGAACGCACCUUGCGCCCUUUGGCUAUUCCGAAGGGCAUGCCUGUUUGAGUAUCAUGAACACCUCAACUCUCAUGGCUUGCCGUGAUGAGCUUGGACUUUGGGGGUCUUGUUGGCCUGUGAGCCAGCUCCUCUUAAAUGAAUUAGCUUGCCGGUGUUUGGUGGCAUCACAGGUGUGAUAACUAUCUACGCUUGUGGUUUCCCAUCAGAUAACCUUCAGCAAUGGAGGUUCGCUGGGGCUUAUAAACAUCUCUCCUCGGUGAGGACAGAUUUUGACCGUUUGAUCUCAAAUCAGGUAGGACUACCCGCUGAACUUAAGCAUAUCAAUAAGGCGGA
rnacentral:rRNA from 1 species